rnacentral:rRNA from 1 species
UUUAUGGAGAGUUUGAUCCUGGCUCAGGAUGAACGCUGGCGGCGUGCCUAAUACAUGCAAGUCGAGCGAACGGACGAGAAGCUUGCUUCUCUGAUGUUAGCGGCGGACGGGUGAGUAACACG